AGUUUGAGUUGGAAAUCAAGAUGGCAAGACACAGAAGUAUAUUGAAGACCACAGAGGAACCUCCAGUUGUGUUUGGUGCUCAGGAGUUUGCUUGUCUGUAUCGGCUUCUACAGGCCUCAUCAGCCACUUACAGAGCCACAGAAGGACAGUGGUGGUCCAUGGAGAGAUGUGCAGCUCUCUAGAAUAUAUCUUGUAACUUGUACAAUUUGAGUAAUUGACACUUUUAAUACAAUUAAAUGCAGCUAGAUAUUCACCUUAACAACAUGAUUUUAUUUGA